rnacentral:rRNA from 1 species
AGAUUGAACGCUGGCGGCAUGCCUUACACAUGCAAGUCGAACGGCAGCACGGGGGCAACCCUGGUGGCGAGUGGCGAACGGGUGAGUAAUAUAUCGGAACGUGCCCUGGAGUGGGGGAUAGCUCGGCGAAAGCCGGAUUAAUACCGCAUACGAUCUAUGGAUGAAAGUGGGGGAUCGCAAGACCUCAUGCUCCUGGAGCGGCCGAUAUCUGAUUAGCUAGUUGGUGGGGUAAAGGCCUACCAAGGCAUCGAUCAGUAGCUGGUCUGAGAGGACGACCAGCCACACUGGAACUGAGACACGGUCCAGACUCCUAGGGAGGCAGCAGUGGGGAAUUUUGGACAAGU